rnacentral:rRNA from 1 species
GAUGAACGCUGGCGGCGUGCUUAACACAUGCAAGUCGAACGAAGCACUUUAUUUGAUUUCCUUCGGGACUGAUUAUUUUGUGACUGAGUGGCGGACGGGUGAGUAACGCGUGGGUAACCUGCCUUGUACAGGGGGAUAACAGUUGGAAACGGCUGCUAAUACCGCAUAAGCGCACAGCAUCGCACGAUGCAGUGCGAAAAACUCCGGUGGUAUAAGAUGGACCCGCGUUGGAUUAGCUAGUUGGUGAGGUAACGGCCCACCAAGGCGACGAUCCAUAGCCGACCUGAGAGGGUGACCGGCCACAUUGGGACUGAGACACGGCCCAAACUCCUACGGGAGGCAGCAGUGGGGAAUAUUGCACAAUGGGCGAAAGCCUGAUGCAGCGACGCCGCGUGAGCGAAGAAGUAUUUCGGUAUGUAAAGCUCUAUCAGCAGGGAAGAUAAUGACGGUACCUGACUAAGAAGCACCGGCUAAAUACGUG